AUUCCAGGCUGUGGAUCCGGUCGUGGGAAGCAGAGUGAACUUCUAGGUUCUGAGCUGACUCCUUGGAAACCCUAGACUCCAGGGACGCGCUUCUAGAACCUGCUCAGAUUGCUACUCAGUUAACAGCCUGGCCCAGGAGGAUUGCAACACCCAGCCUGGCUCCCAGGCAAGCUAAAGAGGGCUUGAUGAUGGGAAGAGGUUAAGGGGUACGUGGAGAGAAAGAAGGAUCAGAAGGCGGAAACAUCAUAGACCUCCUGGGAUGCCUUCUGCAGGAUCACAGAGAAGGCAAAAUUUGUCCUCCUGACUACAAGAUGCCAAGAUACAUUUGUAUCGAGCCACUGAAUUCUCUACCCCUUCUGUAGAGGUGGUUGGGGAAGAGCUGCAGUAGGAAGCUGGGUCCCAAGUAAUGAAGGACCUUUAGAAGCAGAAGGUGUUAGGGUGGGGGCAAAGGACUGAACUCUGACCAACCAGAAGAAAGGAAAAACUGGAGUUCCUUUCCCCUAGGUCUGCCUUUCUUUCUCAGGGUCUCUAUUUACUUCUCAUGCACUUGACUCUCUGCUUCCCUCUCCCUCAUUUCCACAAAGGGGCCCAAGCUUCACAUGCAUCUCGCACCCCCGCACCUUGUGGGCAGGAAAUCUGAGCACAGGCAUUUCCUGUACGCUGAUAAAUGCCCACUGCAAAGAGCCCCAGCCUGAAGGUGGCCCUGUCUCCUAGUUAUGUCCCUCCACAUCCUUAUCUCCCCAGGCUCCAGCCCUCACCAGCAGGGACUCAACAAACGCCAUCUGUCAGAUGAGUCAUGGGACCAGAAGCUUGGGAGAAGACAUGCAGAGCCAACCACUAACAAAACUGGCAAAUGAAAUAAAUGCCCAGAAACCUGCUCCAUCCCCAGCAUUCCUUAAGUCCUAUAAAUUGCACCACCUUUUACCAGUUUUCAGAAACUAAAAGUCAUCCUUGACAUCCGUCCAAUCAAUCACCUCCUAUUUAUCUCCCAAAUUCAUUCUUUUUUCUUUUUGAAACAGAGUUUUUACUCUUGUUGCCCAGGCUGAAGUGCAAUGGCACGAUCUCAGCUCCCUGCAACCUCCGCCUCCCAGGUUCAAGCCAUUCUCCUGCCUCAGCUUUCCUGAGUAGCUGGGAUUACAGGCAUGCGCCACUACGCCUGGCUAAUGUUGUAUUUUUAGUAGAGAUGGGGUUUCUCCAUGUUGGUCAGGCUGGUCUUGAAUUCCCAACCUGAGGUGAUCCACCCACCUUGGCCUCCCAAAGUGCUGGGACUACAGGUGUGAGCCAUUACACCCGGCAAAUUCAUUUUUAUAAUCUUGCCACCCCCACAACCACUGCCCUCAUGGACCCUGGGCACGCCUCACCCGAAUUACAGAAAUUCCCUCCCAGCUGGUAAAACUGUUUGUGUGUGGCUCUCCUUCAUUCCAUCCUCCCUGGUUUAGCCAGAGAAAUAAUUCUAAAAUGUACACAUCCCAAAGCAUCUCAUUUUCCUGCAUGCAGUCUUUCAUCAUCCAUUCACUAACUGGAGGACAACAUCUGAAUUUAUUAGUGAGCAUACAAAGGCUUUUCAUCCGCUGAACCCAGCGCAUCUGCUACCAUUUCCCUGGUCUCCGGUCAGAACUAGUGACUGUCCCAUAAACAGGUUCUGCUGGACUUCCAGUCAAGAUGGAGCGGUGAGUUCUCUGUUCCAACCACAAACCAGCAGUAAAUAAAACAUUUUCGCAUAUAACCCAACACACACAGUUGGGCUGAAAAACAAGGCAAGCUUUCUGUGAACCAGAAGCAAGAACAGAGCCCAAAAUCACUAAAUGGGGCUGUGACUGACAUGCUGCUGGGCUCUGAGUCCCAAAGGGUUUUAGAGAAGCCAGGAGCCCAGUUACCUUAGAAAGGGCAGUGACUAAGAUGAACACCAGGGGUCUUCUGGAGGCCAAGAAUGUUCUUUUUGUGCUCUGGGGGUUUAUUACACAGGAGCAUUCACUUUGUGAAAACUCAUUGAGGUGCCCCUUUACGAUUCAUGUGCGUUUCUGUAUAUCUGUUAUAUUUCAAUAGAAAUGUUUACUUGAAAAACUUUGUCCUGGGAGAAAGCCCAGAGGAAGACCCUACUUUUAGAUGCUGGAGACCAGGGUAGGGUGAGGUAAAGUGGGGUGGAAAUAGAGCACAGCCUCAAAGUGAGGACCCAUGCCAAGCCACCCACAGCUCCUCAUCUGGAUUGGCAUCAUUCUGGCACAGAAUAAGGAACCAUGAAAUAACACGUAAGAGCUGGCGCUGGAACAGCGGCUUAGGAAAAUGGGUGGAGGCAACCACAAAACUAUAAACUGUGCAUUCAGGAAGAGAAGAAAAAAAGACAAAAACAAAACAAAUCAAAGGGGGAAAACUGCCACUAGAAAUGGAUCUGCA
rnacentral:lncRNA from 1 species